ensembl:lncRNA
UAUGGUUUAAUAAAUCAUCUUUAUUUGUAACAGUUCAACAUUAUGAAGGCAUUUUGGUAUUUUUUAUACCUUACGACAACAUUGGUCAUUGAUCUACCCUUGUUUGGACCCUUGUAUUCAGCUUAUCAAACUGUUAUUGAAGAUGGUAAACAUCACAAUUAAAAAUCUAACAACAGACAACUAUGUAAUACAUAUGAACAGCAAUCAAGAUAUGUGGGUUGAAGGGAUGACCCCUAAAAUUUCUUAUAGGCCUACUUUAUAUCAAAGUACUAAAGUUCACAUUGACUGGCCCAGUGGUUUUCCUUUAGUCAAAUGACAUUAAAAGUAGAACAGGUAAACAAAACAUCUCAUAUUAGUCCAAUAUUUGCAUGUCAACUGGAUUCAAAAUAACAUGACAGAAUAAACGCUAGAAUUCACCUCUUAUUCACAUGUCAUUCUAUAGUAUUUAGCUUUUAAUAUUAAAUAAACACUGACCCCAUCAACAUAAAAUUUUCAUUUCAUUCCAUAAAUUGUAUUUUUAAUGCAUUUUGAAUUUGAAAAAAAAAUUAAUGUUGCCUUCUUUGCUUUGCCUUUUUACAUAAUGAAAUCUGUUUAAAGCUUGCAAUUAAAUAUGGUACCAUUUAUUGAUUAAAUUGUGAAAAUAAAACUGCUUAAAAAUACAAAACAACCAUAAUUGAGAGUAGAAUAUAUUUAGUAAAAAAUGUUUUUCUCUCUUUCUCUAAAUUUAAAAUAAUACAUGAGCAAUUGUUUCAGUGCAUUGUUUCCAUUUUUAUUAUUAUUAUUAUAAAGAUUUAGAAUUAAGAAUAUGGUGGUAACAAUAAACAUUUUUGCAUGCACAGAAGCACUGUUUGUUUUUCCUUUAUUAUCACAGUCACAACUAAUUAUAGUUAAAUAAAAUUAAUAUAUUAUUUUAUAUUAAUUCAACAUAAUUAAACAUACAUUUAAUGUGUAUUAUAAUUAUAAUAAUCUCUUAUUCACAAAAUAACAUGUAGCAUAACUCUGUCUUCCUUUAUUCUGUCUCCACAUGAUGUAAGCGUAGUGAAAGAGGCUGUUGAUAUAUACAUAUCAUAAAUGAGUUAUUAUUGUUUAUAAGCCAGCUUGAAUCAUAUGUAACCCUUGCUCCAGCUUCCAUCAGAGGGAUUGACUUUAUUUUCUUAAUACAUAUUUUUAAAAAAUAAAUUAAAAAAAGACAACUUCAGCUAUUGCCACUGUGCUCCUUUACAUAGUAAAAUCAUCAUGUAAUAAAUAAGGUCCAAGAGAAAAAGAAAAAAACAACAACAACAACAACAACAACAAAAGAACUCCCUCAGUCUUUCUGUUUCACACAUACACACACAUCAGGAUUACAUAUGCAUCUCCUGCCUUCUCCCAGUAGGAUCAAGCUGAGAAAAGAAGUCACAGGUCUUGCGCAUAGCCAGGAGUGCCGGUUUACCUAAAGGAGAGCCGAGGUCACGUCCCGCGAAGCUUUGCUCUCCUACUGGAGUGUGUGCAUGUGUGUGUGAGAGAGAGAGAGGGUGAAAGAGAGAGAGAUAUAGUGGGUUUAUUUAGAGAAAGGCAGUAUUUUCCCUCGGGAAGCCAGAGGAAUUGAAGCUGUGUGCUGAGGGGAGGGGCACCUUUCUCUGCACGUGAAUGAAAGGGGCGCACUAAAACCCACUUGUGUGCUGGCAUGAUUGUUUACCAUGACCUCGACUUCACCAAAGGUCCUGAACCGACAUCCUGGCUGUCACAGUAAUGCUGGGCAGGAGCCAGCCACGUCCUGCCCGGGUCCAUGGUACCGACCUUUUCUUAGCUCGCUCUGGACUACUAGCAUGUCACAUCCAUCAGGCAAUGCAUCGAACGGCACACAUUUCUCCAACAGUCCACAAGAUCCUGCUCUAUAAAACACCGUACAAGCAAAGCUAAAGAGGAACAAGCCUCAACCUUUUUCAUCUUAGAUCUACUGCGAGCGAGGACCGAUGUGACCACUGCUCCUCAUGAGCUCAACUUUCAUGUAAGCCGGCGACAGAUGCAGCUUUUGGGUCUCUUUUGGGGGGCCUCUCCCCAAUAUUUUAAGCCCAAUUUUCUAUGGUUUGAUUUAGGGACGAUGGGCUUGAUGCCGGGAGUGAGACAGCAGGCUCAGC